UACGGAGGGAGCUAGCGUUGUUCGGAAUUACUGGGCGUAAAGCGCACGUAGGCGGCGCAGCAAGUCAGGGGUGAAAUCCCGGGGCUCAACCCCGGAACUGCCCUUGAAACUGCAGUGCUAGAAUCUUGGAGAGGCGAGUGGAAUUCCGAGUGUAGAGGUGAAAUUCGUAGAUAUCAGGAGGAACACCAGUGGCGAAGGCGGCUUCCUGGACAACAACUGACGCUGAGACGCGAAAGCGUGGGGAGCAAACAGG
rnacentral:rRNA from 1 species